AUUGAACGCUGGCGGAAUGCUUUACACAUGCAAGUCGAGCGGCAGCGCGGGGGCAACCCUGGCGGCGAGCGGCGAACGGGUGGGUAACAUAUCGGAACGUACCCCGUCGUGGGGGAUAACACAGCGAAAGCUGUGCUAAUACCGCAUACGACCUGAGGGUGAAAGCGGGGGAUCGCAAGACCUCGCGCGAUGGGAGCGGCCGAUAUCGGAUUAGCUUGUUGGUGAGGUAAAGGCUCACCAAGGCGACGAUCCGUAGCUGGUCUGAGAGGAAGACCAGCCACACUGGAACUGAGACACGGUCCAGACUCCUACGGGAGGCAGCAGUGGGGAAUUUUGGACAAUGGGGGCAACCCUGAUCCAGCCAUUCCGCGUGAGUGAAGAAGGCCUUCGGGUUGUAAAGCUCUUUCAGCAGGAACGAAACGGUGGCCACUAAUACUGGCUACUAAUGACGGUACCUGAAGAAGAAGCACCGGCUAACUACGUGCCAGCAGCCGCCGUAACAC
rnacentral:rRNA from 1 species